rnacentral:rRNA from 1 species
CUCCGAGAACUGAAAGGCUUUUUGAAGUCUUCGGAUGGAUAGAAGAACCCCUGAUGCCGUCGAGCCAAGAAAAGUUUCUAAGUUUAGCUAAUGUUGCCCGUACCGUAAACCGACACAGGUGGGUGGGAUGAGUAUUCUAAGGCGCGUGGAAGAACUCUCUUUAAGGAACUCUGCAAAAUAGCACCGUAUCUUCGGUAUAAGGUGUGGUUCGCUUCGUAUUAGGAUUUACUCCGAAAGCGAAGAAACUUACAACAAAGAGUCCCUCCCGACUGUUUACCAAAAACACAGCACUCUGCUAACUCGUAAGAGGAUGUAUAGGGUGUGACGCCUGCCCGGUGCUCGAAGGUUAAUUGAUGGGGUUAGCAUUAGCGAAGCUCUUGAUCGAAGCCCGAGUAAACGGCGGCCGUAACUAUAACGGUCCUAAGGUAGCGAAAUUCCUUGUCGGUUAAAUACCGACCUGCAUGAAUGGCGUAACGAGAUGGGAGCUGUCUCAAAGAGGGAUCCAGUGAAAUUGUAGUGGAGGUGAAAAUUCCUCCUACCCGCGGCAAGACGGAAAGACCCCGUGGACCUUUACUACAGCUUGACACUGCUAUUUGGAUAAGAAUGUGCAGGAUAGGUGGGAGGCUUUGAGUAUAUGACGCCAGUUGUAUAUGAGCCAUUGUUGAGAUACCACUCUUUCUUAUUUGGGUAGCUAACCAGCUUGAGUUAUCCUCAAGUGGGACAAUGUCUGGUGGGUAGUUUGACUGGGGCGGUCGCCUCCCAAAUAAUAACGGAGGCUUACAAAGGUUGGCUCAGAACGGUUGGAAAUCGUUCGUAGAGUAUAAAGGUAUAAGCCAGCUUAACUGCAAGACAUACAAGUCAAGCAGAGACGAAAGUCGGUCUUAGUGAUCCGGUGGUUCUGUGUGGAAGGGCCAUCGCUCAAAGGAUAAAAGGUACCCCGGGGAUAACAGGCUGAUCUCCCCCAAGAGCUCACAUCGACGGGGAGGUUUGGCACCUCGAUGUCGGCUCAUCGCAUCCUGGGGCUGGAGCAGGUCCCAAGGGUAUGGCUGUUCGCCAUUUAAAGCGGUACGCGAGCUGGGUUCAGAACGUCGUGAGACAGUUCGGUCCCUAUCUGCCGUGGGCGUAAGAAGAUUGAAGAGAUUUGACCCUAGUACGAGAGGACCGGGUUGAACAAACCACUGGUGUAGCUGUUGUUCUGCCAAGAGCAUCGCAGCGUAGCUAAGUUUGGAAAGGAUAAACGCUGAAAGCAUCUAAGCGUGAAGCCAACUCUAAGAUGAAUCUUCUCUAAGCUCUCUAGAAGACUACUAGUUUGAUAGGCUGGGUGUGUAAUGGAUGAAAGUCCUUUAGCUGACCAGUACUAAUAGAGCGUUUGGCUUAUCUUUAAUAAAGCAU